rnacentral:rRNA from 1 species
UACGGAGGGUGCGAGCGUUGUUCGGAAUUACUGGGCGUAAAGCGUGUGUAGGUGGCUGCGUAAGUCGGAUGUGAAAGCCCUGGGCUCAACUCAGGAAGUGCACUCGAUACUGCGUAACUCGAGUACCGGAGAGGUUGGUAGAAUUCUCGGUGUAGAGGUGAAAUUCGUAGAUAUCGAGAGGAAUACCUGUGGCGAAGGCGGCCAACUGGACGAGUACUGACACUGAGACACGAAAGCGUGGGGAGCAAACAGG